AACGUACGCUGGCGGCACGCCUAACACAUGCAAGUCGAGCGGGGUAGCAAUACCUAGCGGCAGACGGGUGCGUAACAUGUGGGAAUCUGCCUUUUGGUUCGGAACAACAUGGGGAAACCUGUGCUAAUACCGGAUAAGUCCUAACGGAGAAAGUUUUAAUGCCAAAAGAUGAGCCCGCAUUUGAUUAGCUUGUUGGUGAGGUAAAAGCUCACCAAGG
rnacentral:rRNA from 1 species